rnacentral:rRNA from 1 species
UGAGGAAUAUUGCACAAUGGGCGCAAGCCUGAUGCAGCGACGCCGCGUGGGUGAUGAAGGUCUUCGGAUCGUAAAGCCCUUUUUCUGCGUGACGAGACAGGACGGUAGCGCAGGAAUAAGUCUCGGCUAACUACGUGCCAGCAGCCGCGGUAAAACGUAGGAGACGAACGUUAUCCGGAGUUACUGGGCGUAAAGGGCGUGUAGGCGGUUUGUUAAGUCUGGCGUGAAAGCUCUCGGCUAAACCGGGAGAGGUCGUUGGAUACUGGCGAACUAGAGGAUGGUAGAGGCGUGUGGAAUUCCGGGUGUAGUGGUGAAAUGCGUAGAGAUCCGGAGGAACACCAGUGGCGAAGGCGACACGCUGGGCCAUACCUGACGCUAAAGCGCGACAGCAUGGGGAGCAAACGGGAUUAGAUACCCACGUAGUCCCUGAGCGGGCUGGCAAGGCGCAU